rnacentral:rRNA from 1 species
AUUGAACGCUGGCGGCAGGCCUAACACAUGCAAGUCGAACGAGUGGCGGACGGGUGAGUAAUGUCUGGGAAACUGCCUGAUGGAGGGGGAUAACUACUGGAAACGGUAGCUAAUACCGCAUACCAUCAGAUGGGCCCAGUUGGGAUUAGCUAGUUGGUGGGGUAAAGGCUCACCAAGGCGACUAGCCCUAACUGGUCUGUGAGGAUGACCAGUCACACUGGAACUGAGACACGGUCCAGACUCCUACGGGAGGCAGCAGUGGGGAAUAUUGCACAAUGGGCGCAAGCCUGAUGCAGCCAUGCCGCGUGUAUGAAGAAGGCCUUCGGAUUGUAAAGUACUUUCAGCGGGGAGGCGUUACCAGCAGAAUAAGCACCGGCUAACUCCGUGCCAGCCGCCGCGGUAAUUC